UUCAACGCGAUUUGGCCACUUCGUAUGGUUUCAUGACCAAGAGAAAACGAAUGAAUCGCCGACGAGAGCAAGGUAGAGACCGUUGGAACCGGUGACGGAGAAGUUAGGAAGAUCGGAGGGGGAGCAGAAGGCGAAGUUGGUGAGAGCGAGGUCCUGAGAGGGAGUAUUGGUGACGAUCAUGUUGAUGGAAGCGGAAGAUGAUGAACCGAACCAACUCGACAUUUCUGUGUGGUUUAGGAUCAGAUUCAGAUCUUUGAUUUGCAGAUCAGGUCAUAAAGGAAAUGCCAGCGCGGGGAACAGAAAUGCUGCUUUGCGAUGCUAUUUCUUUUUCCUUCACUCUU